UUCGCAAAAUCUGAUGGCAUUAUGCUCCC
rnacentral:piRNA from 1 species